UAAAAUAAUUAAGGGCACACAAAGGAUGCCUAGGUAGUAAGAGCCGAUGAAGGACGUGGUAAGCUGCGAUAAGCCUAGAUAAGUUGCAAUCGAACGUAAGAGUCUAGGAUUUCCGAAUGGAGCAAUCUAUUAAGAUGGAGUCUUAAUACGAAAGAGGGAACCGCGUGAACUGAAACAUCUAAGUAACGCGAGGAAAAGAAAGUAAAAACGAUACCCAAAGUAGCGGCGAGCGAAAUGGGUCAAGCCUAAACCUUAAAUAUGUCAAGGAUACAGCCGUUGUAUUUAGGGGGUUGAGGGACAGAGUAGUGAAGAACUGUAAGAUAUUCAAUAUAGUGUAUUGAUGAAUUGGAAUUGUCUGGAAAGGCGAACCGUAGAAGGUGAAAGUCCUGUACAAGUAAAUCUUUACACAUAUAACUCUGCUCCCAAGUAACAUGGAACACGAGGAAUUCUGUGUGAAUCUGUGAGGACCAUAUCUCAUAAGGCUAAAUACUCUUACUAACCGAUAGCGCAUAGUACCGUGAGGGAAAGGUGAAAAGAACCCCUGGAGGGGAGUGAAAUAGAACCUGAAAUUGUGUGCUUACAAGCGGUCAGAGCCAGUGAUGGUGAUGGCGUGCCUUUUGGAGAAUGAUCCUGCGAGUUACGUUAAACGGCGAGGUUAAGUAUAACGGAGCCGAAGGGAAACCAAGUCUUAAUAGGGCGAUUUAGUCGUUUGGCGUAGACGCGAAACCUGGUGAUCUAAACCUGUCCAGGAUGAAGCUGUGGUAAGACACAGUGGAGGUCCUAACCCACCGCCGUUGAAAAGUUGGGGGAUGAGGUAGGUUUAGGGGUGAAAAGCCAAUCGAACCAGGAGAUAGCUCGUUCUCUCCGAAAUGCAUCUAGGUGCAGCCUUGAGUGUUCAAUUAUGGGGGUAGAGCACUGAAUGAUCUAGGGGGCGUAUUGCUUACUGAAAUCAAUCAAACUCCGAAUACCAUAAUUUAGAGCUCAGGAGUGAGACUAUGGGAGUUAACUUCCAUUGUCGAAAGGGAAACAACCCAGACCACCAGCUAAGGUCCCUAAUUAUAACUAAGUGGGAAAGGAGGUGGAGAUUCACAAACAACUAGGAGGUUGGCUUAGAAGCAGCCAUACCUUUAAAGAGUGCGUAAUAGCUCACUAGUCGAGAGUCUCUGCGCCGACAAUGUAACGGGGCUAAGUUAUAAACCGAAGCUGUGGAAUCCGUAAGGAUUGGUAGGAGAGCGUUCUGUAGGCCGUUGAAGGAGAAGGGUAACCGACUCUGGAGGUAUCAGAAGUGAGAAUGCAGGAAUAAGUAGCGAGAAAGGGGGCGAGAAUCCCCCUCGCCGGAAGACCAAGGUUUUCAGGGUAAAGCUUGUCUUCCCUGAGUAAGCCGGGACCUAAGCCCAGGCUAUAAUGCGUAGGCGAAUGGAAAACAGAUUAAUAUUUCUGUGCCAGUCAUAUAUUGUGAUGGAGGGACGCAGAAGGGUAUGCACGCGGACGAACGGAAGUGUCCGUAGAAGUAUGUAGGAUGACUUGAUAGGAAAAUCCAUUGAGUUAUAUCUGAGGUAUGAUAUACAGUCGUAAGAUGAAUGCGCAAAUCCCACGCUGCCAAGAAAAGCUUCUAACGUUAAUAUUUGACUGCCCGUACUGCAAACCGACACAGGUGGUCAGGAUGAGAAAUCUAAGGCGGACAGGCUAACUCUCGUUAAGGAACUCUGCAAAAUAACCUCGUAACUUCGGGAGAAGAGGAGCCCUUGAGGGUCAGUAUCCACGCGAUACAAAGCACUCGAGGGUCGCAGUGAAGAGGCUCAAGCAACUGUUUAACAAAAACACAGGUCUAUGCUAAGCUGGAAGGCGAUGUAUAUGGGCUGACACCUGCCCAGUGCUGGAAGGUUAAGAGGAGGAGUGAGAGCUCCGAAUUGAAGCCCCAGUGAACGGCGGCCGUAACUAUAACGGUCCUAAGGUAGCGAAAUUCCUUGUCGGGUAAG
rnacentral:rRNA from 1 species